GCAACCUGACAAACUGCGGGUGGUGUGGAUCAGGAGGAACAGACGUCACAGCACCAAGCUCCACAGUUGGCAACCAGGGAUUAAGAACCCCUACAGAGGCCUGGUGGUUUGGCAGGUUCCAGAGAGCUUAGACAUCACUGUCACACUCUUCAAGGAACCUACUGCUGAGGAGUUUGAAGACAAGGAUUGGACUUUUGUCAUUGAAAAUGAGACAAAAGGCCGCAGGAAGGUGUUGGCAUCAGCUGAGGUCAAUAUGAAGAAGUAUGCCAGUGCCACGCUGGCCCAGUAUGAUGUAACACUAAAGCUCAAACCACUGUCUGUAAAAGUGGUGGAAGCCACACUGAAACUGAACUUGUCCUGUAUCUUUCUCAAAGAGGGGAAGGCCACAGACGAGGACAUGCAGAGUUUGGCCAGUCUAAUGAGUAUGAAACAGAGUGACAUUGGCAAUCUGGAUGAUUUUAACGACAGCGAUGAUGACAUGGGUGAGGAAAGAAGGGCCAGCUUUGGAACUACAUAUGCUGCUCACGUUACUGCUUCUGCUCCUUCCACUGCAAGAAUACAUGAUCUGGCUUGGCGGCCUGCAACUGAAUCAGGCCCUACAGUAAACUCAGAGAUGGAUUGGAAAACAUCCUCUGGCAUUUCCUCCACCAUCUUGGUCCCAUUUUGUCCUCCUCUGCCUGAACCCCCAGAUCCCCCUGUUCCAUCCUCUUCAUUGCGAACCCACACACGACCACCGAGCACUAACCAGCAGACUCGGCCCUCCCUCCAUGCCUACUCAUUACCGGCCUUUAAAUGUGCUCACCCUCCUGCACUUCCCAAAAUCUUCCAGCCCAGUGCUGGAUCAGUGCCCAUUUCAGCUCCACGAAGGCCCCAUAGCUUCCAUUGUGGCUCCUUUCCAGCUGAGGGCCUGGAGGCCACAUCUUCUGUCUCCUUUUUACCCUCUGAUCAAUCUCUCCACCCUCCUGCUCUCUCUGAUACCUCUCAGAAAGCGUGUCCUAGUGUCUGGAGAGCACAGAGCGUUCCCUCCUUUUCUUCUGUCUCCUCCUCAUCAGAACCUCUCAGCUCCUUCCUUCCUAUACCUCCACCACCUUCUGCUCCCAGACAGCCCAAAACUUGCCCCAGCUCUGUGGGAGAGCCGGGCUCAGCCCUCACCAAACCGACCAGUCUUCCAUCUGCCCCUGAGACAGCUCCCUGGCAGAGUGAAUGGAGGCCUCCUAAAUUUCAGGCCCCUCUAGCACAGCCAACCCUCUCUCCUAAGUUUCUGCAUCUCUCUGCCAGUGAUCCUGGACAGCCUGCAGUGUUGCGGAAAAAGCAGAGAGUAGAGAUGCCAUCUUCAUCCUCUCUGCCCAUUGAUCAAUCUUUGGAACAGACGCCUCAAACAGGGUCUGGAUUUGUUCCCUCCUGGAGACCCCAGAUCACCCCCACAUUAGACCCCUCACCUUCUCCUCUAAGGCCUUCCUCUGCUCUUGUUCUCUCUGGGCCUCCUCCUCCUCAGCCUCAUAUAUCCCAAACUGCCAUAAUCUCCCCCACUGACCAGCAUACAGAAUUCAAAAGACAGUUGAGCACUCUGAGUGAAGAGGAUAGCCAAUGUACAUCACCUACAGCCUCUGAUUCCAGAGCCCCUACUAGCCAAUGGUCAGAGCCGUCCAGGGCUUCAGAAUGGAAAAGAGAUGCACAUUUUGGAAUCGAGGUUGCCAAGACAGCAGCAGGACCUGAGAGCAUGGCCUCACUUCUGACCUUUAGUCCCAGAGUGCCCUCAGCCCCAGGGUUGAAAUAUUUUGAGAUGCCAAAAAAACAGAUGGAUCAGGCAGAAUCAAGGCCAACAAGGACAUUCCCCAACGUCCAGCCAACACUUCCUACCUACACCUCUGCACCUAAGCAAAACCCUGAUUUCCACAAUACAACAUCCACUUCAGUCAAUGAACUUCUGGUCAAACCAAGGAGUCACUUGUCGAAGAUGUCCAUUCAGUUAGGGAAUCCAGUAGCCCAACUUGAGCCUGUUCAGCAUAUACCUCAUUCUUCUACAAACCCACAACCUACUUCCAGAUCACUCCAGGUACCUUUGUUGCACUUGCCUCGAAUUGCUACAACUUCUGACACAAAACCUGUAGGAAGGAUAGGAAUGGCCCACAGAAAAGAAGCCAUAAGUCUGGAUUUGCGAAAUGGGAGCAUGACCGCCUCAGUGUCAGCAUGUCUCAGAGACACCAACUCUACUUUUCCUCUAGUGGUGAUGACCAAAACACCAGAAGCUAAAUCUGGAGAAUGGUCCAUUACAGCAAACUCACAAUUGGAGAAGCCACACAGAGACACUCUAAAAUUCAGCCCUGCUGUUCCAAUACCUGCUGUGGAUAUGAAAACCACAUACAGCACAACUGUUUCAGACCAAGUCACUUCAAGAUUGGACUCUCAUUUUGGGUUUCUCUCAGAACAGCAGGCUGCAACAAACAAUUUGUCAAAUCAAAGAGAAGAAUCUAGAGUGGAUUUUGCAUUGUCUUCAACAAAUUGUUUUAUUGUGUGUGGUUUGGACUCAGAGCAUUGUAUGGAGAUAGGAAGAACUGAAAAUGUGGCUUUGUCUAUGGAUAAGAGGCCAUUGUGUGAAAGAGAUAGGAGAGAGGACCUUGUGUUACCAAGCUCUGCAAUCAAUACAGAAGAAAAGUGUGUGUACAUAUCUAAGGUGGAACUUGGCCCAUUGUGUCUAAGAGGGAGUUCAUUUUCUCAUUUAACAUCCACUUUACAGAGUGAAGCUCAGAUUGCAGAAACAGUGAGAAUGCCAAGUAUGAUUAAGUUACUGUCAAAUUGCUCACAAUGUUCUAAGAUUCCUGGUAUGCCAUCUUUACAUCAGUCACAACUUACAGCUUGGCCAGCUGAUGAGAGGUUACUUUCUCAGAAGUUACCUAGAAAGAGAUCACCAUUACUCCAUUAUCUAGAUUAUAUUAUUUCCCUUUAUGAGGGUACUGAAGGAAUUGCAAAAAUGGUGGAUAUAACACCAUCAUGCUCAAGGUGUGCCAGUGUUCCUGGAUUCCCAUCUGCUAUGAAAUCUGAGCCAAAUAUGGUGCACUUCUUACCUACCUGUCCCAAAAUUUGCAGGGUUCCAGGUUUAGCUUCUGUUGGAUCAGUGGCUGGGUAUGAAAAGAAUGUUUGGGACAGAUGUUCUAUUUGGGAAAAAACAUUGCAGAUAAAAGAAGCUAUUGUUUCACACAUGUCUUGUGUCCAGGAACAAGAUAUCAGUGAUAUUAAUAUGGUGGUCAUGUUGCCAACAUGUUCUAUAAAGGCCAGUGUUCCAGGCUUUCCGUCUGCACCAUUGCAGAGAGCUAAAAGUAUGGUCAAUCAUCUCCCUACAUGCCCCAAACAGACAAUAUUUGCAGGUAUGCCAUUUAGGCAAAGAGUUAUGGUGUAUAAUGACAACUGGCAUAUUUUGAGGGAAUUUAUAAUCGGUAGACCAUUAAGAAGUAAUCCUGUUCUGGUUCAGCAAAAGCUACUCAAGGAUAAAGAAUGUAUGAAAUAUAUGGUAAAUAUGUUACCAUCUUGUCCCUGGAUUGCAACCAUUCCUGGUUUUCCCUCUGCGCUACAAAACAAACCCUGUGCAUCUGGUGUUCCAUUUGUACCAUGGCAAGAUCCUAGCAUUGGAGAUUUUUUUCCUUCUUGGCCAAGAAACUCCAGAGCCAUUGGUUUACCCUCUCAGGUACCAGUUAGUGUUCAAGGUGAUGGUUUGGUUAUAACUAGGCAUAUUGUGAUGGCAAAACCACCUGAUAAACAUACAUUUCUGAUGCAAGAUAUUUUCCCAGGUGAUGUUCAGGAUUUAGACAGAAGUGAAAUGUUCAAUUCAGUUGCAGUGUUGCCAUCAUGUCCAGUGAAAUCGUGUCUUGUGGGUAUGCCCUCAGGACACCGAAAGCUGUUACCAAACAUUGUCAGUCUUUUAUCUAUAUGUUCUAAAGAGACCCAAACCCCUGGUAUGCCAUCUCGAGAUCAAAACAAUUCAGAGAUCAAAGAUUGGCAUGCCUUAACGAGAUUAAUUAAUAAGAGACCAGAGAAAAAUAUACAAGCUUGCAUUGUUCAGUGGAUACCAAAAUACACAGAAACCAUUAAAGAUGGUGAAAUCUUAGAUAUGCUGAUAAGUUGCCCACAAAAAAACAAAGUUUUUGGUUUACCCUCAGCUCUAUGGCAAGAACUUAGUAUGAUUAAUGUAAUGCCCUCAUGCCCUAGAUAUUGUAGAAUCCCUGGUUUUCCCUCAAAGACUGGACAAAAACGUAAUUUGUCCAGCUGCAAGGAAUGGUUUGCCAGUAAAAGUGUGCAGUGGAAGAUUCCAUUUGUCAAAAGGGGAAUGCAGAUACUAAAAGCUGAUAAAACAGUUGUUGAAAGGAUGAGUUCAAUAUUAUCCUCUUGCCCUGAGAAUGCUAGUGUACUUGGGUUUCCCUCUGCUCUGACAAUGACAUUAGCUGAUUGCCCAACUAUGAUAAAUUUAUUGCAUAGUUGUACAAAGGAAUCUAGAGUUCCUGGCAUGCCACUUAGAGACUCCACCAAACAAUUAGAGUGGAUAAUGGAAAGAGAGUGGCUGCUAUACCAUAGAGAGAAGUUUGAAGUUACAUUAAUUUUAGAGGAUUUUACUGGGUUCUAUCAUGAUUGUGAUGGAACUAUGGUAUCUAAGUUGCCCUCCUGCCCACGGACACGCUGUUUACCAGAUGUUCCAUCAGUGUCAUGUCUGAUGUUGGCAGAUAUGCCAAGUAUGGCAAAUCUUCUGCCUACUUGUCAGAGACAUUCCAGAGUUUGUGGAAUACCAUCUAGAUUCCACAUUGAGUCUGAUGAAGUAGAAUGGUGUUCAGACAAAAGGCCAGUAUGGGAGAGACCAUUAACAAACCUAGGACCACUGUCAGUAAUUUGUGACCACAAGAUGUUUUUUAGAGAGAAGGGAGUGGUUAGAAUAAUGGUAUCAAUGUUGCCAUCCUGUCCCAAACAGUCUAAUAUUCCUGGAAUUCCAUCUAAGGUAGAGGAGAGACCAGUGGAAGCUUUGAUGAAAGAGGCUCACAACAUGUUAAAAUCCUUGGCCACUUUCCCAAAACAUGGUAAAAUUCAAGGUCUGCCAGCUAAGACUAACAUAGAGGAAUUUGAUGGCUGGAAUUUGGACAGGGAUGCAGUUUGGAAAAACCCAUUCAAUAGAAAGUAUGGAGUCGUUUAUCAAGAUUUUACAGUUCAAAUGUCAUACAGAGAGAAAGAAAUAAUGCUGAGUAUGCUUCCAUCAUGUCCACAACAAGUCCUGAAUCCUGGAUUUCCUUCUGCGCCACAACCCCAAGCUAUUGAUACGAUUGUAGAAAAAAAUCUAGACAUGGUACAAGUGACGCCAUGUUGCCCAACACAAUCAAGUAUCAUUGGUUUCCCCUCAAGAGUCACAGUUAUUUGUGAUUCUAAAGGUGGGGGAUGGCAAAAGAUGCAAAGCUGCUGCCAAUUUUGCAAAAAGUAUUAUUCUUCUCGCAAAGAUAUAAUGAAAGCAGUUCUUUUUCUUGAAUCUUCUUGUCCAUACAUUACUCCCACAGCAGUUCUGCCACCUGGCAUAGACCAGCUUCCAAAUAUGGUGAAUAUUAUACCUUCUUGCCCAAAGAAAGCUUCUAUUCUCGGGGUACCAGCAACACAUGUGCACCAGUCAGGACAGGGGUGGCCAAUUAAAACACCACUAUUGAUGAGCAAACAGCUGUCAUUGGAAGAACGAUCCCAUUGUAAGGACGGAGAGAGAUCCUUGCAGUUUAUAUUUCCCAACUGUGAUGUAACAGAGGAUGAACACCAAAGAAUGACAAUUGAGUCAUCAACCUGCCAUAUCGAAGCCACUGUCAGUGACUUACCAUCAUCACAUUUUGAAAUCCAAGUGGAUCAGCCAUUCUCUAGAUUUGGGACUGAGAUGUCAAAAUUAGAUGUUGACACAAAGAAAACAAUAUUGGAUGUGAGCUCUCCCUUGGAGAACUAUAAAGAUGAACAGGGCUUUUGGAUUGAGGCCAAAGAAGUAGGUGUUCUAGAAAAAGGAAACUUGCAUUGCAGAAUGUGGCACUCCAUUCCUGACAUGCCACUAUUCUUGAGCGUUAAGAAGAGACAUGAAAACAUGGUUUCACUACAGCGAUCAUGCCCAGUUGUUGUUGGUGCGGCAGAACCCCCAUCCCAGACCCAAAUAAAAAAUGCUGAGCAGCAGUUAGAAAAACAUCCUACAAACAGGACCAUGCUACGUGAGGAGCUGCCAAAGGCGACUACAGAGAUAACUAGACAUACAUCAGUGGAAGAAAUGGAAAUGAUAAGAGAAAUGGUCAGCAAUGUUCCAUUAUUCCCUGGUGCUGCCAUGAUGUUUGACACUGAUAAUGAAAUGAGGACAAAGACAGAAGCUGGGGUGACAGAUCUGCUGCCAGUAUGCCCAGGAGUUAGUGGCAUAUUUGAAUUUCCUGCUGCUGCUAAACAAACAAAUAAAUGGCUAGUGGACAGCAAGUUUUCUUGGAAUAAGCCAUCUAAGGAUAAGGAAAUUCUAACUGAAUGCUGCCUUCAUUUAAAAGGACAGGCUGAUCUAAUAGAACAAAUGGUGGAUAAAAACUCCUCCCACCCGAGUGCACAAAGUUCACUAUAUAAUGUUAAACCUGAAAUUGAGAGCAAACAAUCCUUUUUCAUAGAAACCUGUAGGACAAACAUUUCUGACAUGUCAUCCACAUUGACUGCAAAAGAAGAGGAAAAAUGGUUGGUUACAGAUCAAAAGCCAAUCUGGGAGAAACAAUCAAAAAUGAAAGAAAUAUUAUCUCCAUGUGCAUCAAAUGAGGAUGAAAACAGCAACAAGGAAAUUGUUUUACUGGGACCAUGUUGUCCCAGAGAGGCCAGAAAUCCAGGGUUCCUGUCUGUACCACAACAGAGUUUAAUUUUUCAUGGACCAAGUAUGGCAGAUAUGUAUCCCUGUUGUCCAAGUGUGUCCAGUAUACCUGGUUUACCUUCUAUCAGUGAUGCAAAUAUCAGAUCAUUGGUAUCUCAACAGGAACCACUUUUGAACAGAAAAGAAAGUGAUAAAAUUAAACAAAUGGGAGCUUUGGUACCAACAUGCCCAGAUGAUUCUUCCAUAUCAGUUCCACAAUCCUCUAUGGUAUACCAUGGAUCAGAUAUGAUGAGUCUUUUAAGCUCCUGCCCAAAAACCUCUUGUGUUCAAGGUUUUCCAUCAUUAAUGGGGCAUCAUUUGAACAAAAGCUGGGCUCCAGAUUACGGACCCCCUGGUGUAACACUGCCAAAAAUCAACAUAGCCAUGAUUGAAGAUAGACCUUAUGAUGAAGAAAUGAAGACCAUGCCAACUUUAGCCCAAACUUGCCCAAAAGAGGCUUAUAACUCUAGGGUUCCAUCUGCUCUGGAACCUACAGUAAUCUGUAAUUGGUUUAGUCGAGUAAGUCUCCUUCCAUCCUGCUCAACUAUCUCAAGUAUUGCUGGUUUUCCAUCGCUGCAGAAAGCUGACAGCAAAUACUGGAAUGCUAAUUAUCAACCAUUGUGGGAGAAGAAAAUUAAAAAAGAGUCUGUAUUACUACUGAAGAACAAUAAAAUAAACAAAGACACAAAAGGAGAUGUUUCUCUCGUGCAAAGUUGCCCAAGAAAAUCCAGAGUCUUUGGCUUCCCCUCUGUACCAAAACCAAGAAUGAUUCAUGUUGUUGACUUGGCAAAUAUGGUCAAUCUUUCAUACUCAUGCUCAAAUGUGUCACAAAUAUUAGGAUUUCCAUCAGCUCACUAUUCAAAAGAGUGGACAAUGAGCAAGAAGCCACUGUUUGAACUGAGAAUGAAGGAAAAGCAGGUGUCACUGAUUGACAAAUGUGAAAUAGAUAAGAGAGCAAUGAAAGCGAUGGUUUCCCUUGUACAAUCCUGUCCAAAAGAGGCACGGACGCCAGGAUUUCCCUCUCAUCCAAAGCCCUCAAGUGUGUAUUCUGCAUCAGAUAUCAUCAUCCUUUCUGCAUUGUGCUCCCAAGUUUCCAAAAUACCUGGAUUCGCAUCAGUUGUUGGGGAUGUAAGAGUAGGGUGGGUAACAGAAAAAGGAUCAUUGUUGAAUAGGCUACCAAAGAAAGGGGUCAUAUUUGACACAUCAAAGGACAAUAAAAGCAUAAUGACGAAUAUGGUUUCAUGUGUACCAUCCUGCCCUGAAGUGUCAAGCAUUCCUGGUUUCCCAUCUAUCCCAAAUCCCAAAACUGUGUAUUGUUGCCUAAAUGUAGCCAAUCUCCUUCCUUUGUGCCCCCUAGUUUCCACCAUACCUGGAUUGUCAUCAGUUGAGGCGCACAAGGUAAAGAGGUGGGUCACUGAACUGGGUUCACUGAUGAACAGACCACAUAGGAUAAUUCAGUCAAGGAUUAACAGCUCACCAAUUAAUACAGACAAACCAGAUAACAUGCUUGCAUUGGUUCCUUCUUGCCCAGGAGCAUCAAAAAUUCCAGGCUUCCCGUCUUACCCCAGAUACAACAUGCUAAGUCUUGUACCUGUUUGCCCUGAAGUAUCCAGUUUCCCAGGACUUGCAUCCUUUAAAGAGGCCUCAAAAUUCCAGUGGCUUUUUGGACCACACACUUUGUGUAAUGAGUUUCCAAAGCAGACAGUUUUUGUGAUACACAGUCCAAAUCAAGAUCGAAAAGUGGCAAAGACAAUGUUGGCCCUAGCACCAUCUUGCCCAGCAGCACCCAGGAUCCCUGGGUUCUCUUCUGCACCUCAAACUAAAUCCAAGAUUGAACCCAAUAUGAUAAGCCUUGUACCUUGCUGCGCCAGUGUUUCAAGUCUCAAAGGAUUUGCAUCCAUGACUACAGUCCCAAGCACAAAGUGGCUGAGUGAAAUAAAACCAAUUUUGAUAGAGCCUCAGAAGAAGAUGGCAGACAUGAUGAUGGCACUUUCUGGACAAGACCAGCUCUAUCAAUACAACAUGAAAAGCAUGGUGACAUCAGUGACUUCCUGCCCAAAAGAGGCCAGAGUAUAUGGGUUUCCUUCUGCUCAAGUUCUAAACAGACCACCAUACAUGGUCAGCUUAUACAACUCUGCUCCUUGUGUUUCAUGUGUCCCAGGUUUUCCAUCAGCAAGGAUGCUUACCUCUGAACAUAUAAAAAUACUAAUUAGGACAACACACAGCAAAUUGUUAUUUGAUAAGCUGCAGAAUGAGAAGAAGUUUCUCAUUGAAAACUUUCCAGCAAAACAAAAAGAUGAAAUGAAAUAUAUGGUAGCAAUGGCUCCAUCCUGUCCAUAUUUGACUCAAAUUCCUGGUCUCCCCAGCAUUUUGCAAUUGAAUCCAACAGAGAACACAAGAAUGACUGAUGUUUCCUCUACAUCUGUCAGCAUCCCCAGCAAAGAACCUGAGCAUGCUGAGGAAUUCAAAGGCAGCGCAAAGCAAAACAUAGACCUUUCUGUAGAUAACGGCAAAUCCCAGAUAGAGAGAACAGCAGCAGAGGAGAUCCAAACAGUGAAGAAACCACUGGACACAUCAGAGCCCAUGGGAGUCUUGGGGUGGGAAGUAUUGGAGGCAGAGGGACCAAAUACAGAAAAACGGGCAGAAUCCUCUUUGUCAACAAAGGAAGAAGAGACCUCAGGAUUAGUAAAGGCUAUUGUGGGUGUUUUUCAUAAAGGUUACGAAACAGUUGUAUCCAUAUUGGGGCCAUCUAGUACUACCUUAACUGAAGUGGAUCACCAACCCAAGGCUUCUAUAGACCUGAAGGACAAGACAGUGACCCCUUCAGAUGAGUUUUUUCUACAUUUCACAGACAACACUACUUCCAUAGAUGGCCAGUUUGAAGACAUUCACACCGAACAUGACAUUGGAUGUCAAACAAGUGCUGAGCCUCACAUAUGGAACUUGGUAGAUGUUCGAUCAGGGUCUCCAUCACCAACUACCAACAGUGAUGAUGGGUUUUUAGUUUGUGCAAGCAUGAAGGAAUGGCCACCAUUAACAGAGGCAGAUAUGACUGAAAUGUCAAAUGAAGAUGGUGAACAAGUAGAGGAACAAGAGGCAUCUCUUGAUCAGUGCCAUACAAAGGAGAGCUCACUCACAGGGCAGGACUCUGUUCAAAUAUCAGUGAACACUGAAAGUUUGUUUGAAAGGCAUGAGACUGAGGCAGAACACGAUGAGUUUAGAACAGUGUCAUCUUCAUCACAGCUGGACAAAUGCCCCCAGCAAACAAGCAUGGAGGAAAUUUCUGCCACUUCCCUGCAGCCUACAUCAAAUGAAUCAGGUCCAAAGAAAGAUAGAGGUUUACUCUUAGACACACCCUCAGAUGAUCAAAACAUUAGUCCACUGGGACCAGAAGCUGAUAUUGCUGUCUCUCAGCAAGACAGAAAGUCAAAGAAAAAAGUUCCAGAACCUCAAAAGAAAGAGUUGAAUCAAGAAAAAGACACUUCUACCAUAUGGCCACUCAGAAGUAAAUACAGUUUAACACCAGACUGUAAACAAAAACAUAAUGGUUUGUCUGUCAAGCUCCAAACUGAAGUUAUUACAGUCCAGUCUGUUAGAAACAAUUCUACUUGUGAGACAAUUCCCACACAGUCAGAUGCUGACCUUGCCUUAUCUUGCACCAUAAACAAAGGUAGUAGCGUUCCUCUAAGUUUGCCUCAGUAUGGUCAUGAUCAAGAAGAUGUUGGAGCUCAAGUAACAUCAUCCAAAGGUGACCACAAACACAAAGGGGAAGCAGAAUUUGUGCAAAUAUUCACGCAUAUCACUCCUCCUCCUCGUGUGAAAAGAAGAGAUGGUAGUUUGCCUCCUGAAACUCCACAGAAAACUGCCCCUUGCAAACCCCUGAGAAGAAAAGACAGUGUCAGUAGAGAGAAAUUUGUUGAAAUAAUCCAUGAUCAACAGGAUUUGAAAGCCCAAGUUAGUUCUGUUUUGGAGACAUCUGAUACUGGUCCUCCACAACCUGAGACAAACUCUGAUGUCUCAGGUAGUCUUGAACCUCUACAAAACAUUGAUAAAGCCAGUCAAUCAGCCACUGAAAUGAACCCCUUGCAGCCUGCAGGAAAGCAAGACCAAACAGCCAAACAAAACUCUCAAGAAACAUAUUUUGAUGUGAUUGCAUCUCUACAGACAGAAACAGAGUUGGUUUUCUCAAAGGACACAAAACAAACCUACUGUGAUUCAGAAUGGCCUAAGCAAGAUAUUAAUACAUCUGUUCAGCUCUCUUCUCCUGCCUUAGAAACAAUGGGAACUGACAGCAUCGCCUCAAAGUCAGUUGAGUUUCAUUUUGAGCAAACUGCUCCUCUCUCAGUCAUCAAGAAAAUAUGUUUUCCACAACGUGGCAAGAAAUUACCAGCAAGAAAAUCUUGCAAAAUUAUCAGCAACAAGGGAACAAUAGCUCAAAAUUUAAGUGUUGCAACCAGGGAGAUUGAAAAAGCUGCCCAGACUGAUAACACUGUGAUGGGUGAUGUAGACAAGAUAAAGCAGUCAAAGAAACUGGGUCACACAGCUGUUGAUACAUUUGGAAAUGCAUCAGAGACAGCAAAGGCAAUAAGGGAUGAACAAACAAUUCAUCCUAUCCCAAAGCCUCGUGUGAGGAAACAUUUCAGUGGCUCCUUCCUAGAUGACUUAACUGCUACAGAAAGAACAUAUCAGGCCUUCCAUGGGGAAGAGGUACAGGCAGCACAACAAGUUGGUCCUUCAUCCAUUUCCUCAACAACUAAAGAACUGUCAAUGGUGCAACGCAGCAAAGACCUUCUCCCUCCUCAUCUAGUUGAUCAACUUUGUACAUCUACAGAAGGUGUAUGGUUGAGGAGGAGUAGACAGUUAGAGGAUGGUAAUACUUCACAGAUCUCAGGACCCUCAAGCUUGCCUGUACCAAAACCAAGAGUGAAGAAACGUCUCAGUGAUUCCUUUCCAAAUGACAUCACAAUUUCUAGCUCACCAUCUCCCUGCCAGUCAGAAACAGUACCUGAUUCUAUUGAUUAUGAAACAAUCCAACAGAAUGAACAGUCAAGCUUACCUCCUCCACUGCCUUGGGCCAAGAAACAUCUCAGUGCGACUUAUUCAGGUAGCACACCUCCUGUAGACAAUUUACUCUCCCAAGAAAUGGAAUGGUCUGAGUAUACAUCUCCCACUAGCAAAGAAACAAAAGAAUGGUCAACAUUGCUGGAUUUAAGUGUGAUCUCGAAAGGAGGGUUUUUCCAAAGCCCAGGUGAAGAAGAUGUUACAUCAGAGGUGGAACAGGAAGUGCUAGCAACAAUGCAAGAAGAAAAGUUUCCUCAACCCGAUUCUGUAAAAGAUACUGAGAAGCCACUGGAUGAAAUCAUUGAGGGCUGGACCUUCACAGAUAAACCUUUAGUUUCAGAUUACUCAGAGGAGGUUACAGAGUCAGCAUCUGAACAGGAUGCCAUUGAAAAAGCAGAGGUUGAUAAGUUCCUUGGUUCCACUGUUGCAUCUUCUCAGGAUGACUGGCUGCAUUUAGGGGAUGAUAAACACAGAGAACCAAUGGAAGUAACCUCAAACAAGGAAAUGAGGGAUGAAGAGUUGGACUUUGGUUUUGUGUCUGUAGAUGUAGCUGCUGGUUACUUAGAGGAUGAAAGGCACAUGGGGAGAACAGAAGAGUCCUCAGGUCAGCCUGUACCUGUGCCACGAGGCAAGAAGCGUUUGAGUGGUUCUUACCUAGGUGACAGCAAGCCACAAGUUGCUGGACCCCAUCAAACCAGCAAACCAACAACACCUCAAAAAAGACCUGCAGAUGGGGCUGCCUCUCCAGAGAGCCUAUUAGCCAGUCCAGCCUUAGUAACAUCCAGCCAGUCUCUACUGGAAUGGUGUCAAGAAGUCACACAGGGUCAUAAGGGAGUGAAGAUCACCAACUUCAACACCUCUUGGCGGAAUGGCCUUGCCUUUUGCGCCAUAUUUCAUCACUUUCACCCAGAAAAGAUUGAUUAUGAAAUGUUGGACCCAUAUGAUAUCAAGCACAACAACAAAAAGGCUUUUGAUGGCUUUGCUGAACUUGGCAUUUCCAGGCUGUUGGAGCCUUCAGACAUGGUCAUGCAAGCUGUGCCUGACCGCCUCAUUGUCAUGACCUACCUCAACCAGAUUCGCACCUAUUUCACAGGCCAGGAACUCAGUGUGCUUCACAUAGAGAAGGAUAGCAGUGUGUCUAGUUAUGCAGUAGCAGGUGACCGGGACAGCCAAGAGGACCCUGAGGCAACUGUUCGGUACUGCGCCCAGAGGCUCCAGGAAGAGGGUAUAAGUCUUGAGACUAAUGGGGCUGCAGGUACUGCAGAGAAAGACAAUAAAACCAGUAGGGAUGUGGUUCCACCUCCCAGAACUAAACGGUUGCAGGUGGCUGGAGGAGGUGGGGCUCAGUCUCCAGUGGCACCACCAAGGACCAAUUUACUUUCCAAAUCAGGUUUCUCUCAUGUUAAAGAUGCUGAUUUGGUCAAGAAACGAAGGUCACAGCGGAGGAGUGGGUCAGUAGAUGAUGGAGACUUGUCAGUGGUAAUUGCAGGAGAAGAAGACAGUGUAAUUAGUAAGAGGAAAUCUGAAACUGAGAGACCAGAUGUUGUGGUUGAGGAGGGAAAACCAGAAGGCCAGGACCCCAGCCAGUAUGUUCUGAGUCAGAUGGAAGCCCUGGAAGCAGAACAAAAUCAUAUUGAUAACAGGGCAGGUGUGGUUGAGAGGAAACUCAGACAACUACUGGAAACAGGUAGAGACAAGGUGGAGGAGGAGAGGCUGAUUCAAGAGUGGUUUACACUGGUUAACAAGAAGAAUGCUUUAAUCAGGAGACAAGACCAUCUGCAGCUACUACUGGAAGAACAAGACUUGGAGAGAAGAUUUGAGUUGUUAAACAAAGAGCUGAGAGACAUGAUGGCAAUUGAAGACUGGCAGAAAACUCAGGCCCAUAAACACAGAGAACAGCUGUUGCUGCAGGAGCUGGUGUCUCUAGUCAACCAGAGAGACGAACUGGUCCACAAUAUGGAUGCCAAAGAGAAAGGCGCUAGGAAAGAAGCUGUUCCGAAGUCUGUUUGUGCGUGUGCUGGGGGUUCUUAGUCUGCCUCAGGGCAGGGUGGUGAACAGGGAGUGUCCAGGGUGUGAAGUAUCCUUCCUGAUGUUUGUGGCCUGUGUAGGAGACAGCCUGAGUAUAUAUCGCUCAGGUUUGGUAGGGGGCAGCUGAUGAUCCUCUCAGCUGUCUUGACGACCCACUGCAGGUCCUUUUUUCAGGUCCACUGCUGUGCAGCUGGAAUACCACACAGUGCAGCAGUAUGUCAAGAGCUCUGGAGGAGGACGAGCGUCUGGAACGAGGCCUGGAGCAGCGGAGGAGGAAGUACGCUAGACAGCAGAAAGAGAAGUGUGUGAUGCAGUGAUUCUGUCUACUUCCAGCCAUGAAAUGCUGGGUCACCUAUCUGAUAGAAAGUAGGUCAAGACAAAACCAAGAAUGGGACAGUUAUGUUGGGUCCUCCUCACCUGCCGUCAGAUUGAUUGGUGUGGUUUUAAGUCAGCAGUAAGAGGAUGACUAGGUCAACAUAGUUGAUCUAAGGUAUUUCUACAAGAGAGAACACUGAACCUGCAUGAGGUGGCAUCACAUUUCCAUUGGAGACUCAGACGGUCCAAAACCAGAGUGAGGCUCUGAGAAAUGUUAGCCAUAUUUAGCCUUAUCAACUUGAGUUUUAUUUUUUGUUUGCUUCCCUCAAACCCAACAGGAUGUUUAACACCAAGAACUUUUUACCUACUCAGCCAGAGAGGCAUCAGUGCCUCAAAGAGCUGCUUGUGCCUUUGACUGUUUGCUUGUUUCUCUGCUGUGUUUUUAGUGACUGUUGUUACAGAUUGUGACUGUAAAUGUAAACUGUGUUUGAUUGAAUGUUUGGUACAGAUAUGAGCUGCCAAAAACAGGAGCAAUAAGGGCUGACCAUUGUGGGUUCUUGAAGACUGCACCAAUAAUUUCACAUUUGGACUGGACCUCCUGAUAACCAAAAUCUAGCACCAGUACACCCGCAAUUACAAGGAUUCAGUGUUUGAACAAAAAUGCUUUGUCACUGUCUUCUAAAACCACUAAUAUGAAUGUUUUUGGAUUGAGUGGCCUUAUUAGCACUACAACAUGGUUUGUCUUUUUUUAUUUUUUUUUUUUUUUUUUUUUUUUUUUUUUUUUUUUUUUUUUUUUUUUUUUUUUUUGUAUUGUUUAUUA